rnacentral:tRNA from 1 species
GGUAGGGUGGCCGAGCAUAGGCGGUGGGUUGUAGCCCCAAAGACAGAGGUUUGAGUCCUCUUCCUAUCA